CUGGUGCCUGUGGCACUUUCUCAAAAUACCAAACGUGCCCAUUGUCCCUGAAAGGUUGACAACCCCUGAUGUGGUUCAAUCUGUAUUUGUAUGCUGGAAGGCAAAAAGCCAGAACACCUUAUAGUGCAACAUGCUGAGUGUCAUACCAGCGACCUGUGGCACUGAUACAUGGUGCGCUAAUGGAGGCUCCGGUGACAGGGUUCAACAAGUGACCUAUUUCAUUCCACUUCUGCGACCCUGGAGGACAGCCCUGCAAGCCAUAAUUUGCUCACUCUACCACAGGAACUCUCCAUUCUACUAAGGAAAUAAGAGGCAGACUCACUAUUUCUAUUGCACAUCCAAGAAUGGCAUGAGAUUGCUGAAAUAGAUUUCUUUAUUUCUGAAACAUUCCAGAUCAGCAGAAUACAAGUUGUAAUCAAGUAUUAAAAUCAUAUCCCCAUAGUAAGAAAGCAUUGAUUAGUGCAAUUUUUUUUCUUGCAAAAGGUCUAUCAAAAAGGUUUUACUUCCAUGAAAACUUGUUUGUUUUCACCAAACACAAGUGUUAAUAAAACAUUGCAAUUUUAUUCUUUAUUACAAAGUAUCGAAACCCAACCAUUUAGGAGACCAUCGCAUCUUUCAAGUGCAAUGCAAUUUAUGCCCUCUUUAUAAAUACAACACCCCCGUGAUAAUAAAUUAACAUUGGAACAAGGAAAUGAGAGACAGGUUCGUGUUGACCAGGAAGUCAUGGCAGUUUCGAGCAAAUACUUUAGUGUGUGCUCUCACAACAUAAACAUACAACACAGCUGUCAUCUUGUCCAUCAUGGCCCCAAUGCAGCAAUAUAUGUACUCAAGAAUAGACCUGGCAUGUGAUGUAAGGGGGGGAAAUACUCUUUUUCAAGUCCCAAGAGUGGGGUAAGGUCUAAAUCCAGACACCUCGCCCCAUCUCUCUAACAUACACACAGGCCCAAGAACAGGUGAACUGAGUAUCACCAAGAAUCUGACUGGAACUGGAUGUGACUUCUUAAGCAGCUGAAAACCAUCCAUAUUCCCCCAUGCAGUUAGAAAUAUGUGUAUGGAUGUCUGCAUCUGUGCGUGGAUAGCUGUAGCUGGAUUUGGGGAGAUUGGCAUGGUUAGAAAUACAUCUUGAACAU